GAACCCGAGGCUUCAAAACGGCAGUCCACAGACCGAUGGGUGACAUCACGUGUGCGGUGCUUCACGCUGUCCCUGACCUCAUGUGGGGAUGACCAUCUCUUUCUUUGAACAUUCAACACCGAGCCCCGUCGUCUCCUGCUGAAAACAUCAAAAAUGAAACUACGGCUCAUGAAGAGAAUAGACACAGCCGGUGGAGGUUUUGAAGGUUCCUCUAGACUGGAGAGUCGUCACGGUGGCUUUGCUCCUCGUACUAUGGCGCUUUACGCAGCUGAGGAGAGAUUGUUUCCGGAGGGCCCAGGAGACACGGCAGCGCAUCUACUAAGGACCCACUAGGGAGACCUCCGGCCAAAGACAUCCCACUGGUCGAUCUGCAAAUACAAG